rnacentral:rRNA from 1 species
GACGUAGGGGGCGAGCGUUAAUCGGAUUUACUGGGCGUAAAGCGUGCGCAGGCGGCCCGUUAAGACAGGUGUGAAAUCCCUGGGCUCAACCUAGGAAUUGCGCUUGUGACUGGCGGGCUCGAGUACGGUAGAGGGGGGUGGAAUUCCUGGUGUAGCAGUGAAAUGCGUAGAGAUCAGGAGGAACACCGAUGGCGAAGGCAGCCCCCUGGGCCUGUACUGACGCUCAUGCACGAAAGCGUGGGGAGCAAACAGG